AGCCACCAAUGAGGAUUGAACUCACGACCCCUGGUUUACAAGAACAGUGCUCACAACCACUGAGCUAUGGUGGC